rnacentral:rRNA from 1 species
ACACGUAAGGGGCAAGCGUUGUUCGGAAUUAUUGGGCGUAAAGGGCGCGUAGGCGGUUUUACAAGUCUGGUGUGAAAUACCUCAGCUUAACUGGGGGACCGCGCUGGAAACUGUAAGACUAGAAUCUAGGAGGGGAAGCUGGAAUUCCUGGUGUAGGGGUGAAAUCUGUAGAUAUCUGGAAGAACACCGGUGGCGAAGGCGAGCUUCUGGCCAUAGAUUGACGCUGAGGCGCGAAAGCGUGGGGAGCGAACAGGAUUAGAAACCCCGGUAGUCC